rnacentral:rRNA from 1 species
UACAGAGGUCCCAAGCGUUGUUCGGAUUCACUGGGCGUAAAGGGUGCGUAGGCGGCCUGUUAAGUCGGGUGUGAAAGCCCUGGGCUCAACCCAGGAAGUGCACUCGAAACUGGCGGGCUUGAAUAUGGAAGAGGGUCGCGGAAUUCCCGGUGUAGAGGUGAAAUUCGUAGAUAUCGGGAGGAACACCAGUGGCGAAGGCGGCGACCUGGGCCAAUAUUGACGCUGAGGUGCGAAAGCGUGGGGAGCAAACAGG